UUCUACAGUGAUGUUACAUCAUCAGAAAUGUUCUCUCAUUUUUACGUGUUGAUUUUUGAAUGUGUGAUUCUGAUCUCGUCUCAGAAUUUUGAGAAUUCUCUCCUUUAUUUGCAAACCGGUACUUGAACAUAUUUCCUUAAAGCUUUACUGUAGGUCAACAUGUGCCGGUGACACGAGAGAAGUCAGUUUUAAGUCACUGUUUAACACUUUGUGGCUUCAUGGGACACAAUGAACACACCUGAGUCCCGCAGACAGAAGCAAACAGGACUAUGAUGUCUUUUCAUUGAGACGGACGCAGUUGAGCAGGGUCACUUUUUUCAUUUGGCGUCGGUUUAAAAUCCAGCUCAGAGAUGAUCUCUUGCUCACAGUCCAGAUUAAUGUGAAGGCGUAUCUGCUUCGUCAGAACACCUACAUGACUGAAGCGGUAUCAUAUCAUGACUGUAUCGUGUACUUUCUGCCUUUUGCACGCUGAGGAAAAGCUUUUCUGCAGUUUGGCUCCUGCUGCGUCUUGUGUUCCACUUGGGUUCCCUCUAAACGUGCUCACAUGUGCCUGGUCCAUUAGUUAGCCCGCAGAUGGCCUGAAAUAGCCAUCUAAUGCAGUAUUAUUCAGCCAGAGCGGCCGCUGGGAGCAACAACAGGCCUGCUCGCUCCCAGCAUGUGACCCGCAGGGCUGGACGUCGUUUUGGGGAAACGAGACGGCAACCAAAAGGACAGGUGGCAGAAACUCUGCAGCAGCAGCAGCAGCAGCAGCAGCAGAGCGCGGCUCUCGGGGACACCUCUGCACAUGUUUCAUAUUCAUGUUGGCUUCUGAUACAGUGAAAUGUGAAAGCGAACCAUCAGGCAGUGAGGAAGAAAAACACGACGCAGGCGCACACAGG